AGUGAACGCUGGCGGCAGGCCUAAUACAUGCAAGUCGAACGGCAGCACAGUGGAACUUGCCCCAUGGGUGUCGCGUGGCGGGCGGGUGUGGAAUACAUGGGAAUCUGCCCAGUCGCGGGGGGUAAAGUGGGGAAAAAUACGCUAAUACCGCACGCGCCAUUCGGGGGAGAGACGGGGGCAUCCGGGGACGGCGCGCUUGGGAGAGACCAUGUUUGGUUAGCGAGUUGGCGGGGGGAAGGCCCACCAAGGCGACGAUCGAUAGCUGGUCUGAGAGGAUGAUCAGCCACACUGGCACUGAGACACGGCCCAGCCUCCUACGGGAGGCAGCAGUAGGGAAUAUUGGACAAAGGGCGCAAGCCUGAUCCAGCCAUGCCGCGUGAGUGAAGAAGGCCCUCGGGUUGUAAAGCUCUUUUGUCCGGAAAGAAAAGCAUCGGGCUAAUACCUCGGUGUUCUGACGGUACCGAAAGAAUAAGCACCGGCUAACUUCGUG
rnacentral:rRNA from 1 species